GGUGGUUAGUUGUAAUACUUAAAGUUAAUUUGAAUAUGGAAAUAUGCAUGCUCCUUACAGCUUUUUACCGAAAAAAUAAAAUAUCAGUUAAAUUUUAUUUACAGAAAAAAAGGUCUGUCAGUGGAAAUUACAGACAAUACUCACCAACCUCACUUCACAAUGGAUUAACCAAAGUAUUUAACAAAAACAUGAAUGUAUACAAGACCAUACAAGGCUUCCAAAGUGCCUCAUUCUGAAAUGUGUACAAC
rnacentral:lncRNA from 1 species